UUUAGCAGUUGCACGUAUAGUCAAGAAAUUUCGCCAUAUGAGAUGCAGCUGCAGUUUGUUAAGAGGAGUCGAGCCAUUUAAUACUCUCCGAGGUCUUACACAUCUUUGACCCUUUCAAGUCCGAUCCACCAAACUUCUCGGAUCCCCCGAUAAUUUACUAUAUCUAAACCACAGAUCUGACGCAAAUAGGUGUAAUAACGUAUUCCACUACGUCGAGAGGAAUCAAAUACGAAGAUAAUCAUUCCGCCGGUGAUUUGAAAGUUGCUAGUUAAGUUUUGUCGCCUCUUAAACACGCAUACUUAUAUAUUAUACCUUCUACACCGU